rnacentral:tRNA from 1 species
ACAGCUCAGUGGCAGAGCAUCCGCUUAGCACGGAGAAGGUCCCAGGUUCAAACCCCGGAAUA